rnacentral:rRNA from 1 species
CAACCCGGGCCGGCCGUUGAAACUGGGGAUCUUGAGUGGGCGAGAAGUAUGCGGAAUGCGUGGUGUAGUGGUGAAAUGCAUAGAUAUCACGCAGAACUCCGAUUGCGAAGGCAGCAUACCGGCGCCCGACUGACGCUGAGGCACGAAAGCGUGGGGAUCGAACAGGAUUAGAUACCCUGGUAGUCCACGCAGUAAACGAUGAAUGCUAGUUGUCCGGUUCUUUGGGACUGGGUGACACAGCGAAAGCGUUAAGCAUUCCACCUGGGGAGUACGCCGGCAACGGUGAAACUCAAAGGAAUUGACGGGGGCCCGCACAAGCGGAGGAACAUGUGGUUUAAUUCGAUGAUACGCGAGGAACCUUACCCGGGCUCAAACGGGAGAUGACGCGGGCAGAGACGCCCGUUUCUUAGGACAUCUUCCGAGGUGCUGCAUGGUUGUCGUCAGCUCGUGCCGUGAGGUGUCGGCUUAAGUGCCAUAACGAGCGCAACCCCUGCCGACAGUUGCUAACGCGUUGAGGCGAGGACUCUGUCGGGACUGCCGGCGCAAGCCGCGAGGAAGGCGGGGAUGACGUCAAAUCAGCACGGCCCUUACGUCCGGGGCGACACACGUGUUACAAUGGGGGGUACAGCGGGAAGCCAGGCGGCGACGCCGAGCGGAACCCGAAAGCCUCUCUCAGUUCGGAUCGGAGUCUGCAACCCGACUCCGUGAAGCUGGAUUCGCUAGUAAUCGCGCAUCAGCCAUGGCGCGGUGAAUACGUUCCCGGGCCUUGUACACACCGCCCGUCAAGCCAUGGAAGCCGGGGGUGCCUGAAGUGCGCUGCCGCAAGGAGCGCCCUAGGGUAAAACCGGUGACUGGGGCUAAGUCGUAACAAGGUAACCGUAA